AGAGUUUGAUUCUGGCUCAGAACGAACGCUAGCGGCGUGGAUAAGACAUGCAAGUCGAACGGGCAGCAAUGCCAGUGGCGAACGGGUGCGUAACACGUAGGCAAUAUGCCGGGAAGUGGGGAAUAGCCCAGGGAAACUUGGAUUAAUACCGCAUGCGGCCAUGGAAGACAUCUUUUAUGGUCAAAGGAGGGGCUCGCAAGACCUUUCGCUUCCCGAUUAGCCUGCGGCCUAUCAGCUAGUUGGCGGGGUAACGGCCCACCAAGGCGACGACGGGUAGCUGGUCUGAGAGGAUGACCAGCCACAUUGGAACUGAGACACGGUCCAGACACCUACGGGUGGCGGCAGUCGAGAAUCAUUCACAAUGGGCGAAAGCCUGAUGGCGUGACGCCGCGUGGAGGAUGAAGGUCUUCGGAUUGUAAACUCCUGUCAUUCAUGAGCAAGGUUUACGGGCUAAUAACUCGGAAACUUGAUAUUAAUGGAAGAGGAAGAGACGGCUAACUCUGUGCCAGCAGCCGCGGUAAUACAGAGGUCUCAAGCGUUGUUCGGAAUCACUGGGCGUAAAGGGUGCGUAGGCGGAACGCCAAGUCAGAUGUGAAAGACCGGGGCUCAACCCCGGAACGGCAUCCGAUACUGGCGAUCUAGAGGGCUCGAGGGGAGUGUGGAAUUCACGGUGUAGCAGUGAAAUGCGUAGAUAUCGUGAGGAACACCAGUGGCGAAGGCGACACUCUGGAGAGCAACUGACGCUGAGGCACGAAGGCCAGGGGAGCGAACGGGAUUAGAUACCCCGGUAGUCCUGGCAGUAAACGGUGUGCGUUUGGUAUGGGGGGGUUCGACCCCUUCCGUGCCGGAGCUAACGCGUUAAACGCACCGCCUGGGAAGUACGGUCGCAAGAUUAAAACUCAAAGAAAUUGACGGGGACCCGCACAAGCGGUGGAGUAUGUGGCUUAAUUCGAUGCAACGCGAAGAACCUUACCUGGGCUUGACAUGCACUGUGUCGCUGUCGAAAGGCAGCUAGUCCCGCAAGGGUCGCUUUGCACAGGUGCUGCAUGGCUGUCGUCAGCUCGUGUCGUGAGAUGUUGGGUUAAGUCCCGCAACGAGCGCAACCCCUGCAUUCAGUUGCCAGCCCUAUGGGCGCACUCUGGAUGGACUGCCUAGUUUAACUGGGAGGAAGGUGGGGAUGACGUCAAGUCAGUAUGGCCCUUACGCCCAGGGCUGCACACGUACUACAAUGCCCGGCACAAAAUGACCCGAGACCGCGAGGUGGAGGAAAUCACAAAAACCGGGCUCAGUUCGGAUUGAAGGCUACAACCCGCCUUCAUGAAGUCGGAAUCGCUAGUAAUGGUGCAUCAGCUACGGCACCGUGAAUACGUUCCCGGGUCUUGUACACACCGCCCGUCACAUCAUGGAAGCUGGUUACACCCGAAGUGCGUUGCUUUACGGCGCGCCCUAAGGUUUGACUGGUAACUGGGAUGAAGUCGUAACAAGGUAGCCGUAGGGGGCCUGCGGCUG
rnacentral:rRNA from 1 species